rnacentral:misc_RNA from 1 species
GAUGAAGAACGCAGCGAAAUGCGAUAAGUAAUGUGAAUUGCAGAAUUCAGUGAAUCAUCGAAUCUUUGAACGCACAUUGCGCCCGCCAGUAUUCUGGCGGGCAUGCCUGUCUGAGCGUCAUUUCAACCCUCAUGUCCCUAGGGCGUGGUGUUGGGGAUCGGCCAAAGCCCGCGAGGGACGGCCGGCCCCUAAAUCUAGCGGCGGACCCGUCGUGGCCUCCUCUGCGAAGUAGUGAUAUUCCGCAUCGGAGAGCGACGAGCCCCUGCCGUUAAACCCCCAACUUUCCAAGGUUGACCUCAGAUCAGGUAGGAAUACCCGCUGAACUUAAGCAUAUCAAUAAGCGGAGGA